GGCCAUUGCACAGAGAGGGGUGAAAUCGCGAGCGCCAGAGGUUGAGAGGGUGGCGACGACGAUGCGGAGAAGGCAUGAGCCAUUAACGGCCGGAUGUGCGGUAGCGACAGUGUGGUGAAGCAAUGGGCCGAGGUCGAUGGGUGGGGAAGUGAGAGGGAGCACAGAGGAGAUGCUAGUGCUGAUGCCGAAUGCGGAGAAAAAGGAUGGAUGAGCUACGGACCACAAGGG
rnacentral:lncRNA from 1 species